rnacentral:rRNA from 1 species
UGGGGAAUUUUGGACAAUGGGCGAAAGCCUGAUCCAGCAAUGCCGCGUGUGUGAAGAAGGCCUUCGGGUUGUAAAGCACUUUUGUCCGGAAAGAAAUCCUUGGCUCUAAUACAGUCGGGGGAUGACGGUACCGGAAGAAUAAGCACCGGCUAACUACGUGCCAGCAGCCGCGGUAAUACGUAGGGUGCAAGCGUUAAUCGGAAUUACUGGGCGUAAAGCGUGCGCAGGCGGUUUGCUAAGACCGAUGUGAAAUCCCCGGGCUCAACCUGGGAACUGCAUUGGUGACUGGCAGGCUAGAGUAUGGCAGAGGGGGGUAGAAUUCCACGUGUAGCAGUGAAAUGCGUAGAGAUGUGGAGGAAUACCGAUGGCGAAGGCAGCCCCCUGGGCCAAUACUGACGCUCAUGCACGAAAGCGUGGGGAGCAAAACAGGAUUAGAUACCCUGGUAGUCCACGCCCUAAAACGAUGUCAACUAGUUGUUGGGGAUUCAUUUCCUUAGUAACGUAGCUAACGCGUGAAGUUGACCGCCUGGGGAGUACGGUCGCAAAGAUUAAAACUCAAAGGAAUUGACGGGGUCAUAGCUGUUUCCU